CCUACGGGCGGCAGCAGUCGGGAAUAUUGCGCAAUGGAGGAAACUCUGACGCAGUGACGCUGCGUGCAGGAAUAAGGUUUUCGGGUUGUAAACUGCUUUAUACAGGGAAGAAAAGAGACAGUACCUGUCGAAUAAGCUCCGGCUAACUACGUGCCAGCAGCCGCGGUAAUACGUAGGGAGCAAGCGUUAUCCGGAUUUAUUGGGGGUAAAGGGUGCGUAGACGGAGAAGCAAGUUAGUUGUGAAAUCCCUGGGCUUAACUGAGGAACUGCAACUAAAACUACUUCCCUUGAGUACUGGAGAGGAAAGUGGAAUUCCUGGUGUAGCGGUGAAAUGCGUAGAUAUUAGGAGGAACACCAGUGGCGAAGGCGACUUUCUGGACAGUAACUGACGUUGAGGCACGAAAGUGUGGGGAGCAAACAGGAUUAGAUACCCCUGUAGUC
rnacentral:rRNA from 1 species